rnacentral:rRNA from 1 species
CAGCCGCCACGGGAAUACGUAGGUGGCAAGCGUUGUCCGGAAUUAUUGGGCGUAAAGGGCUCGCAGGCGGUUUCUUAAGUCUGAUGUGAAAGCCCCCGGCUCAACCGGGGAGGGUCAUUGGAAACUGGGAAACUUGAGUGCAGAAGAGGGGAGUGGAAUUCCACGUGUAGCGGUGAAAUGCGUAGAGAUGUGGAGGAACACCAGUAGCGAAGGCGACUCUCUGGUCUGUAACUGACGCUGAGGAGCGAAAGCGUGGGGAGCGAACAGGAUUAGAUACCCCAGUAGUCCCUGUCUCUUAUAC